GUCCUAACCUCAGCAUCUGAGGAAAGGGAUUUAGGGGUGAUUAUUUCUGAUGACUUAAAGGUAGGCAGACAAUGUAAUAGAGCAGCAGGAAAUGCUAGCAGAAUGCUUGGUUGUAUAGGAAGAGGUAUUCACAGUAGAAAGAGGGAAGUGCUCAUGCCAUUGUACAGAACACUGGUGAGACCUCACUUGGAGUAUUGUACGCAGUACUGGAGACCGUAUCUUCAGAA